AUACUUAUCUUGCAGGGGAGGUCCCAUGAUCACCAAGGUGGUUUGCCCAGGGCCAGGCUCAUCCAUUGCACUCCAAAUGUGCUGACCUCUGCAGUUUCCCCAAAUGUGGGAAACUUGACUGCAGAAUUUGUGGUAGUGGGGAACUGCGUUCGCACUCUCCCCUA
ensembl:snRNA U1 U1 spliceosomal RNA